rnacentral:rRNA from 1 species
GGAUAAACGCUGGCGGCGGUGUUUACCCCAUGCAAGUCGAGCGGGAGAAUUUGGAGAAGCUUGGUUUUAAAAUUUUUCAGCGGCGGACGGGGUGAGUAACGUGUGGGCAACCUGCCUCAUACAGAGGGAUAAUCAUGUGAAAACGUGACUAAUACCGCAUGUCAUUGCCGAAGGGCAUCUUUUGGCAAGAAAAGGAGUAAUCCGGUAUGAGAUGGGCCCGCAUCUGAUUAGCUAGUUGGUGAGAUAACAGCCCACCAAGGCGACGAUCAGUAGCCGACCUGAGAGGGUGAUCGGCCACACUGGAACUGAGACACGGUCCAGACUCCUACGGGAGGCAGCAGUGGGGAAUAUUGCACAAUGGAGGAAACUCUGAUGCAGCGACGCCGCGUGAGCGAAGAAGGCCUUCGGGUUGUAAAGCUCUGUCCUUGGUGAAGAUAAUGACGGUAGCCAAGGAGGAAGCCCCGGCUAACUACGUGCCAGCAGCCGCGGUAAUACGUAGGGGGCGAGCGUUGUCCGGAAUUAUUGGGCGUAAAGGGUACGUAGGCGGUUUUUUAAGUCAGCAGUUAAAGCGCGGGGCUCAACCCCGUAAAGCUGUUGAAACUGGAGAACUUGAGAGAUGGAGAGGAAAGUGGAAUUCCUAGUGUAGCGGUGAAAUGCGUAGAUAUUAGGAGGAAUACCGGUGGCGAAGGCGACUUUCUGGACAUCAACUGACGCUGAGGUACGAAAGCGUGGGGAGCAAACAGGAUUAGAUACCCUGGUAGUCCACGCCGUAAACGAUGAGUGCUAGGUGUCGGGGGUCAAACCUCGGUGCCGUCGUAACACAGUAA